rnacentral:tRNA from 1 species
GUGGAUGUAGCUCAGGGGUAGAGUCCAAGAUUGUGGAUCUUGUUGUCGCGGGUUCAAAGCCCGUCAUCCACC